GACGAACGCUGGCGGCGUGCCUAAUACAUGCAAGUCGAGCGAGCGAAACUAACAGAUUUACUUCGGUAAUGACGUUAGGAAGGCGAGCGGCGGAUGGGUGAGUAACACGUGGGGAACCUGCCCCAUAGUCUGGGAUACCACUUGGAAACAGGUGCUAAUACAGGAUAAGAAAGCAGAUCGCAUGAUCAGCUUUUAAAAGGCGGCGUAAGCUGUCGCUAUGGGAUGGCCCCGCGGUGCAUUAGCUAGUUGGUAAGGUAAAGGCUUACCAAGGCGAUGAUGCAUAGCCGAGUUGAGAGACUGAUCGGCCACAUUGGGACUGAGACACGGCCCAAACUCCUACGGGAGGCAGCAGUAGGGAAUCUUCCACAAUGGACGCAAGUCUGAUGGAGCAACGCCGCGUGAGUGAAGAAGGUUUUCGGAUCGUAAAGCUCUGUUGUUGGUGAAGAAGGAUAGUGGAAGUAACUGGCCUUUAUUUGACGGUAAUCAACCAGAAAGUCACGGCUAACUACGUG
rnacentral:rRNA from 1 species